rnacentral:rRNA from 1 species
CCCUACGGGGUGCCGCAGGAAGGAUAGCCUUUUACGCAGGUGAUCCACGCGCUGGUUGGUUUCUACGCCGGAAUUGUCGAUGAUGUUGGAGUUGAUCCCGCCGGGGAAAACGGUCAGGACGCGGAUUUUGGUAUGGCUCAGCUCGCAGCGCAGCCCUUCGGAGAGGGCUUUGAUGGCAGCCUUGGAGGCUCCGUAGAUGGUUUCUCCCGGCACGGGCGAUAGCGCCCCGGAACUGGAAACGUUGACGGUAUAGGCUUCGGGACGGGAGGAUAAAUGGGGGAGAAACGUCUUGGUCAUGUUGAGCAGGCCGUAAAAGUUGACGUUCACCACCCUUUGAACGGUGUCGAAGCCGGUUUGAUCGACACUCAGGAAGGGGUGGAUGAUCCCGGCGUUGUUGAUGACGGCGUCGACCCCGCCGUGAUGCGCCACAACCUGAUCGGGGAGAGC